rnacentral:rRNA from 1 species
AACCGGUGUAAGCCAGGUUGGUUUCUAUCUUUUAAAAAACAAAAUAUUUUAGUACGAAAGGAUCAAAUAUUUAAAUUAAAUUUAUAAUGAAAAGAAUGUUAUUAAUAAUAAUUAUAUUUGUUAUUUAGCAACAUAUAUGUAUAUAUAUAUAUAUAUAUAUAUUAU